rnacentral:rRNA from 1 species
UACGUAGGGUGCGAGCGUUGUCCGGAAUUAUUGGGCGUAAAGGGCUCGUAGGCGGUUUGUCGCGUCGGGAGUGAAAACUCAGGGCUUAACCCUGAGCCUGCUUCCGAUACGGGCAGACUAGAGGUAUGCAGGGGAGAACGGAAUUCCUGGUGUAGCGGUGAAGUGCGCAGAUAUCAGGAGGAACACCGGUGGCGAAGGCGGUUCUCUGGGCAUUACCUGACGCUGAGGAGCGAAAGUGUGGGGAGCGAACAGG